rnacentral:rRNA from 1 species
AUGGAGGACUCGAUUGGGGGGCUGGCGCAGACCAUUCUGGACGCCCUCUCCGCCGCGCAGCUGCAGGCCUGGAUUCACCAGGCGGGGCUUGGCCAUGACAUGGAGAUGCUGGAGAUGGAGCUGGAGAUAGUGGACAUGGGGUACGCCGCCGUGCGGGAGAGGCUGACCGGCAACAAGGAGCCGCUGGUCAGAUCCCUCGCCCGCCUCAAGGAUCUGCUCUACGACGCCGACGACUUGGUCGACGACCUUGACUUUUACCGCCUCCUUGAUAGGCCCACCGCUGGAGGCUCAUCAGUAGUCAGACACGAGGAUACACCCAUACAAUCUACAUACGCCGACCUGUUCAUCGACUCCCCUACUACAGAUUCGUCAGAUAAUGCUUUGGGUGAGCAGGAAGACAUAUUUGGGGCAGUCCAAGUCCAUGAGAAAUCGACCGGAGAUAUGGAUAUAGUGAGUAGCCAGGUUGGCAAGAGGCGAUUGUCUGCAAUAUCUGAACACUAUGAGCUCGUGGAUCAAGAUGGAAAUGAUUGUCGAGUCAAAUGUAUUCACUGUGGCUCAGAGCCGAUGGUUGGCUGUGGAUUGAGCCAAUCACAAUUGAGGCGCCAUAUAAAGACUGUACAUUAUGAGAAUAAAAAAAGAGCUGCUGAAUUUUCGAAUGACACACAUAAUGCUCUUAGAGAGCAGGAAGACAUAUUUGGUGCAGUGCUAGUCGAUAAGAAAUCAAGGAGAGAUAUAAAUAUACAGAGUAGGCAGGGUGGCAAGAUGCGGUCUCCGGUCUGGAAGCACUUUGUGAUAUCCGAAACUGAUGAAAACAAUAGGCCUGUGAAAGCCAAAUGUGUUCACUGUGACUCAGAGCUGAAUUGUGGACCCAAACAUGGGACAUCAGGUUUGAAACGCCAUAUCCGUAGUGCAGGUUGUACAAAGAAAAAAGAAGCAGCUGACCAGCCACUAACCCCUUCAAGCAGCGCUGAUGGUAUAGAAAAUGUUGAAACAGUUGCCAUUGGUGAUUCACACAGCAGAAAAAGGAUUAGAAUGGAUGAUGAGUCAACAUGCGGGGCCAAACCUGAAACACACCUUUGGAACAAGGCUGGAUUUUUGCAAAGGAUAAAAGAAAUAACUCGCCGGUUACAAGACAUAUCGGGGUUUCUGAGUAAGGUUCUCAAGUUACAUGGUUCAGAUUUUGUUGCAAGCUCAAAUCGCUAUCGAAGUAUAACAUCAGAUCAACACCUAAGAACAUCAAGUGUUGUUCCAAGGAAAGUUUAUGGAAGAGUUACAGAGAAGGACUACAUCAUAAAGUUCAUGACGGAAGACAAACCUGAUGGUUCAUAUGUUCUUCCUAUUGUAGGCAGUGCAGGAGUUGGAAAGACUGCUCUUGCUCAGCUUGUAUACAAUGAUCCAACCAUCGCAGAGCACUUUGAACAAAGGAUAUGGGUUUCAGUGUCUAACAACUUCGAUGAGCUGAGACUCUCUAGAGAGAUCUUAGAUUGUGUCUCUCAGCAAACACAUGCAGGGCUAUGCAGCUUUGCCAAGCUUCAGGAGGUCUUGAAGAUGCAUAUCACAUCAAAGAGGGUUCUGCUUAUUUUGGAUGAUGUUUGGGAUGACUUUAACUUCCGCAGAUGGAGCCAACUAUUAGCUCCUUUGCAGUGUAACACAAAGGGUACUGUGAUUCUUUUGACAACUCAAAAAUUGUCUGUUGCACAAACUGUUGGUACAGUUGAACCAAUUAAGUUGCGUAGUUUACCAUAUGAUGAUUUUUGGUUAUUAUUUAAAUCAUGUGCAUUUGGUGAUGAGAACUAUGAAAGGAAUCAAAAUCUUAGCAUCAUUGGAUUGCAAAUAGUAAAGAAGUUAAAGGGAAACCCAUUAGCAGCAGCAACAGUAGGGAAACUAUUACGAAGGAGCCUUACUAUUGAUCAUUGGUAUAACAUUCUGAAGAACGAAGAUUGGAAAUCUGUGCAACUCAGUGGAGGUAUAAUGUCUGCUCUGAAGCUUAGCUAUGAUCAGCUACCCUACAAUUUACAACAAUGCUUCUCAUUUUGUUCUUUAUUCCCCGAGAAAUAUCAGUUCCUUGAUGAGGAGCUGGUCCAAAUUUGGAUUGCACAGGGAUUUGUGAAGUGUGAUAAUUCAAGUAAGACACUUGAGGAGAAAGGAUUUGACUAUCUAGCUGAUCUUGUGAACUUGGGCUUCUUUCAGCAAGUUGAAAGAGAAGAGACCGAUCCAAACAGUCAACCUUGCUACAUUAUGUGUGAUCUUAUGCAUGAUCUUGCUAGGGAAGUCUCAAGAACUGAGUUUGCAACUAUAGAUGGCGUGCAGUACUGUGAGAUGCUGCCAACUAUACGCCAUUUGUCAAUAGUAAGUGAUUCUGGAUAUAACACAGAUCAGCAUGAAAACAUACCCCGCAGUAAGAAGCUUGAGAAGAAAAUGCUCGCUGGAUGUACAUCGCUGAGGAAAUUGAGGACAUUGGUAUUCAUUGCGCAUUAUGACAUGUUCUUCUACAAAUUAUUUCAAGAUAUAUUACGACAGGCACAUAAUUUGCGCCUGCUGCAAAUUUCUGCAGCAUCUGCUGGUUUAAAUCCUUUACUGUGCAGUUCGGUGAAUUUCACCCAUCUUCGCUACUUAAAAGUUGAAGCUGCUGAUGGGCUUGGGGCUCUGCCUCAAAUUUUGAGCAAGUUUUGCCAUCUUCAAGUAUUACAUGUUGGCUCAUGUACUAAACCUACUAUACCUGUCAGGAUCGACCAUAUUGUUGGCUUGCGGCAUCUUGUUACAGAAGAGGGGGCAUACUCUUCCAUUGCUAACAUUGGUAACCUGACAUCUCUUCAGGAGCUACCCAAUUUUGUGGUUCAAAAUUCCAGUGGCUUUGAGAUAACACAACUCCAGUCCAUGAAAGAACUUGUACGACUUGGGGUCUCUCAUCUUGAAAAUGUUAAAACUCGGGAGGAGGCUUAUGGGGCAGGAUUAAGAGAGAAACACCACUUGAAAGAGCUGCACUUGUCUUGGGAAGUUGCCUCGUCAGAUGAUGAAUAUCGUAGGGACAUGAGCUCCUGUACGGAUCAGUUGUCAGCAGAGGUUAUUGAGGGCUUUGAACCACACAAUAACCUAAAGCAUCUGUGGAUAUCUGGCUACAAUGGAAAUCUCUCCCCAAGUUGGCUUGCCAACAGUAUCUCUUUGCAGACUCUUCAUAUAGAGGGUUGUGGAAAAUUGGAAAUACUUCCAUCUUUUGAGCAGCUUCCGUUCCUUAGAAAGUUGAAGUUGACGGAAAUGCCAAGUAUGACAGAAGUAUCAAUUCCUUCGUUGGAGGAACUGGUAUUAAUUCAAAUGCCAAAGUUGGAGCGGUUUUCCUGCAUUUCCACUAAGGACUUGAACUCAAAUUUAAGGGUUCUGAAGAUUCAGAGAUGUCCUGCAAUGAAUAUCUUUCCUCUAUUUCAGAGCUCCCAGAAAUUUAAAAUCGAGCAGAAGUCAUGGUUGCCCAGUCUGAGGGAACUCACUAUCCAUGGAUGUCCUAAUUUACUUGUGUCACAUCCCCUUCCUCCAUCAACUACCAUUUCUAAAUUAUCCAUCGUCGACGUUCCAACACUCCCAAGGAUAGAGAUAUCACCUGGUGACACGUUAACAAUUGGAUCCAGAAGUGAGGGCUAUGAUAAUUUUGAUCCUUCUUCUGAUGUGAUGACUAUACUGGAUUGCAAAAUUUUGGCAUUCCACAACCUGAGGGGCCUCAGAUACUUGCGUAUAGAUGGUUGCCAGAAUCUGGUGUCUAUUUCUUUCACAGGAUUAGGGGAACUUAUUUCUUUAAGGAGUUUGGAAAUAUGUAGCUGUCGAAAGCUUUUCUCGUCAAAUGUUAUACCAGAGCAUACCCGUGAAGAUGUGACAGCUGCAAAGUGUAAUUCCCUCCCAUCUCUUGUCACUCUCAGAAUUAAGUGUUGUGGAAUAGCAGGAAAGUGGUUAUCUUUGAUGCUGGGUUAUAUGCAGGCCCUAGAGGAAUUGUUUUUAGAGGACUGCCCGGGGAUAACUCAGUUAGCAGAAGAGGAAGAAAACAUUCAAUCUUAUGGUUUCUCAUCGUCAGGAGAUCCAGAUGACACAUUGCUGACAAGCUCAGCUCAAGAUGGAAUCUUUUGCCUUUCACUAAAUCUUAUGUCCUCUCUGAAGAAGAUAUCGAUUCGUGAAUUCCCACACCAAGUAUUUUGCAGGAAAAAUGAAGACUUGUCUAGAUUUACCUGCCUUGAGAAGCUAACAAUUUGGGGAUGCCCCAGGCUGCUCUCAUCUCUGGUGGAUAAAUAUGAAAAUGAUGAUCAGAUGAAUGGAAGAUGGCUCCUGCCGAAAUCACUUGAAGAACUCGAGAUCCGUGGCGAUUCACCAGGCAUGCUGCAGCCCUGUUUUCUGGGCAAUCUAACCUGCCUCAAAAAACUACAAGUGUGGUUCAGCCCAAGUCUGAGAUCUCUACAGCUGCAUAACUGCACGACACUGGAAGAGUUGGUAAUUGGAAACUGUGGAUCACUUGCUGCGGUAGAAGGCUUGCAAUUACUUGGCAGCCUCAAGUAUUUCAAAGUAUUCAGAUCCCCUGGCGUGAUUCCAUGUCUGGAGAAUCUGUCAAGGCAGGGCUAUGCUCUAUUCCCUGGACUAGAAAGGCUUGUGUUCGAUGGCCCCUCUGUCUUUAUCAUGUCAGUUUGCAAGCAACUCACCUCCCUCCAAUACCUACAACUUGAAAAUUGGGAGUUUGUAACGAGACUAACAGAAGAGCAAGAGAGAGGGCUUCAGCUCCUGAAAUCCUUGCAGGAGCUGGAAUUCUGGGAUUGCAGUUAUGAUCUCAAAUACCUCCCCGCGGCGUUGCACAGCCUUCCUUCACUCAAGAGAUUGAAGAUCAGUGGUUGUUUGGGAAUCUCGAGGCUGCCGGAACAGGGCCUUCCACUCUCGCUGAAGCAACUGGAUAUCAGCAAUUGCAGCAAGGUGUUCAAUGAUCACUGCAAGUCUCUAGAAACAGGGAACGUAAAGGUCAACAUUGUUGGAAAUACACAAACUGCUUAA